GUGCUUUCUUCAGUAGCACACAUACUAAAAUUGGAAUGAUAUAGAGAAGACUAGCAUGGCCCCUGCAUAAGGAUGACUUGCAAAUUUGUGAAGCGUUCUGUAUUUUU